GACGAACGCUGGCGGCGUGCUUAACACAUGCAAGUCGAACGGAAAGGCCUUUUAGGGGGUACUCGAGUGGCGAACGGGUGAGUAACACGUGGGUGAUCUGCCCUGCACUCUGGGAUAAGCCUGGGAAACUGGGUCUAAUACCGGAUAGGACCGCACUUUAGUGUGUGUGGUGGAAAGUUUUUUCGGUGUAGGAUGAGCCCGCGGCCUAUCAGCUUGUUGGUGGGGUAAUGGCCUACCAAGGCGGCGACGGGUAGCCGGACUGGGAGGUUGGUCGGCCACAUUGGGACUGAGAGAAGGCCCAGACUCCUAAGGGGGGCAGCAGGGGGGAAUAUUGCACAAUGGGCGCAAGCCUGAUGCAGCGACGCCGCGUGGGGGAUGACGGCCUUCGGGUUGUAAACUCCUUUCGCCAGGGAAGAAGCGUUUUGUGACGGUACCUGGAGAAGAAGCACCGGCUAACUACGUG
rnacentral:rRNA from 1 species